GGUUUGGGGUCGCUGCAUCCUUUUGGGGUUACUCUGUGCUGGUUUGGGGUCGCUGUGUGGGUUUGGGGUCGCUUUGUGCCAGUUUGGGGUCACUGUGUGCGGGUUUGGGGUCGCUGUGUGGGUUUGGGGUCUCUGUGUGCGGUUUUGGGGUCGCUGUGUGUGGGUUUGGGGUCACUGUGCGGGUUUGGGGUCACUGUGCGGGUUUGGGGUCACUCUGUGCCGGUUUGGGGUCACUGCAUCCUUUUGGGGUCACUCUGUGUGGGUUUGGGGUCAGUGUGUGCGGGUUUGGGGUCACUCUGUGCCGGAUUGGGGUCACUGUGCACGGGUUUGGGGUCGCUGCAUCCUUUUGGGGUCACUCUGUGCUGGUUUGGGGUCGCUGUGUGGGUUUGGGGUCGCUUUGUGCCAGUUUGGGGUCACUGCGUGGGUUUGGGGUCGCUGUGAGGGUUUGGGGUCACUGUGUGGUUUUGGGGUCACUGUGUGGUUUUGGGGUCGCUGUGUGCGGUUUUGGGGUCGCUGUGUGCGGUUUUGGGGUUGCUGCGUGGGUUUGGGGUCGCUGUGUGCGGGUUUGGGGUCACUCUGUGCCUGUUUGGGGUCGCUGUGCGGGUUUGGGGUCACUCUGUGCGGGUUUGGGGUCGCUGUGCCUGUUUGGGGUCACUCUGUGCCUGCUUGGGGUCACUGCAUGGGUUUGGGGUCACUGUGUGGGUUUAGGGUCGCUGCAUCCUUUUGGGGUCACCGUGUGUGGGUUUGGGGUCACUGUGUGUGGGUUUGGGGUCGCUGUGCCUGUUUGGGGUUGCUCCGUGCCUUUUCGGGAUCACUGCCCCUGUUUGGGGUCAUUCUGGGCCUUUUUGGGGGUGCGGGGUCUUCGAUGGGGCUCUUCAGGAUCAGAGUGGGGAGUUUUGUGGCACCACAUUGGGGUCUGUCUGCCAUGGGGCCGUUUUUGGGGCCGUUUUUGGGGCCGUUUUUGGGGCCAUUUUUGGGGCCGUUCCUGGAGUUUUCAGCUCUUUCAUGACGUCAUUUUCCUUCGCUAUUUUGGGCCGUUUUGGGCUCUUCCUGGGGUCGCUUUGGGGCUUUUUCUGCAGCUUUGUGAAUCUAUGGGGCCUCGUUAGGGCCCACCAUUUUGGGGCUAUUUUGGGGCUUUUUGGACACUUUGGGGUCACGUUAUUGGUUUCUUUUAGGGACAUCGCGUUGCCAUGCCACCUUCAGGGCCAAUUCCUGGGGCCUCUUCUCUGGGAAUUCAUUUGGGUUUCUUUGUUUUUUGG
rnacentral:lncRNA from 1 species